CUUCAAAUAGAAAGAUGUUAUUUACUUAAAGGUGAAAAUAAAAUCCUAAAUAUCUAGGCCACCAAAAUGAGUAAGUUUUUUCUUUUCCUACUUGAUGUUUGUUGCAGCUGGUAGAUGAUUAGGAAUAAAAAUCUGGGCAAGUGCUAGUUAACUGUCUUGGGACCGUCGUUCAUUCCUCCUGUUCCAACCUUCCCUCCGUUGGGUGAGAUUCCACUUACAGGAAACAACCAGAAUAAGAUCAGCCCAGUAACUGACACCAGCUCUGUGUUUUGGUGUCAUGUUCAAGGGGGCAGUGAAAUUACUGCUUUCUCUGCCGUCUGUGACUUUAAAAAAUAUAUAAUGUCCAUGCUUCAUUUAAGAAGUAGGUGUUGUAUUUUAUAGUAGAUGUUGUAUUUUAUAAAGUAAAUUGGUUAAGGAAUUAAAAGUUGGGAAAAGUAUUUGUUGGAUUUUCUUAAAGGAGAAGUAUCAGGUGCUCAAACACUAGGUUCUUAUAGCUGGUCUCCCUCUCUCUUCAUCUUAGGGUUAAUCAUAUUCUCUCCGUGUUUCAGAAUCUUCCAUGUUUGCCUCUGCCUUGCCUAACUUCCCUGUGCGUACAGUGUGAGAAAUACGAAAAGGGCUCCAAUGGAUCUUCUCACCCAGGGCAGCCAGGCCUGGGCUGCCCCCUUCCCUCCGGGUCAGUGAUGGGUUAGCAUUUCAGGGCCAAUAUAAGUUGCCGGGCACCUGGAAGACAACCGCACUGCCAAGAUUCUGUUUAAGAGUCCAGGCCCACUGCGGAAGUUUGGUGGAGAGGGACACAAGAGGGUUCUGUGUGGACUGAAUUGUGUCCCCCAAAAAUCAUCUGUUGAACCCCUAACCCCCAAUGUGACUGUACUUGGACACAAGGCCUUUUUAGGGGUAAUUACGGUUAAAGGAAGUCGUCAGGGCCGAGCCCUAAUCCAAUGGGAUGAGUGUCCUUCUAAGAAGAGGAAGAGACAUUGAGUGCCCACACCAACAAAAGGCCAUGUGAGGUCACAGUGAGAAGGUGACCGUCUGCAAGCCAAGGAGAGACCUCAGGAGCAAUCAUAUCUGCCAGUACUUUCAUCUUGGACUUCAGCCUCCAGACCUGUGAGAAAAUAAAUUUCUGCCGUGGAAGCCCCACCGUCUGUGGUUGUUUGUUGUGGCAGCCUGAGCAAGUAAUACAGGGUGCAACCAAGGUGAGAAGGUGAGCUUCUGGAAGCCGGGGAAGCAGAGGGGUGAAAAGGGGUCUGCGAGUGGAGAUCUGUUCAGGCCCUUCAGGUGAGGGCACCUCUGAAAAGGGGAAGUGUCACGAGAAGUGAGUGCCAGAAACCGAGGGUGAAGGAGGUAGAGACAAAGAUUCCCGGGUGACUGAGACUCCAUAGGCUUGAACAGUGAAUGUCUCCUUGGGCCAAAGACUCGAGACGCAUCUCCUGUUAUCAGAUGACACAUAAGCUUCAAAGAUUCUCAUACAAUCCUACUGAGAAGCCAUCCCCCAGACAUGAUUUAGCUUGAAUUUCCCAACAUUUUAACCACUGGGGUCUUAGAGAGGAUUGGAUCUGACUUUAAAAAUAAUAUGUCAGGGGCUGGCCCCGUGGCCCAGUGGUUAAAAUUCUGCAGGCUGCACUUCAGCAGCCCAGGGUUUGCAGGUUUGGAUCCCAGGCAUGAGGACCUACUCCACUCAUCAGCCAUGCUGUGGAGGUGUCCCACAUACAAAAUAGAGGAAGAUUGGCAAUGGAUGUUAGCUCGGUGAAUCUUCCUCACCAAACAAAACAAAACAGCAACAAAAAAUGUCAUUCUUUGCCCCGAAUGUUGUGGAUUAAAUUCAUAUCUACUGUGCAAUGUCUAAAUAAAUAAUAAGCUAGGCUUAAAACAUUUUUAAAACUUUAUUAUGAAAAAGUUAUAUUUAUACAAAAAUAGUAGAAAGAUGUACCCCUAUGUAUCCACCACUCUGC
ensembl:lncRNA